rnacentral:rRNA from 1 species
UACGAAGGGGGCUAGCGUUGCUCGGAAUCACUGGGCGUAAAGCGCACGUAGGCGGCUUUUUAAGUCAGAGGUGAAAUCCUGGAGCUCAACUCCAGAACUGCCUUUGAUACUGGAGAGCUUGGGUCCGGGAGAGGUGAGUGGAACUGCGAGUGUAGAGGUGAAAUUCGUAGAUAUUCGCAAGAACACCAGUGGCGAAGGCGGCUCACUGGCCCGGUACUGACGCUGAGGUGCGAAAGCGUGGGGAGCAAACAGG